rnacentral:rRNA from 1 species
GAUGAACGCUAGCUACAGGCUUAACACAUGCAAGUCGCGGGGCAGCAUGGGGGUUGCUUGCAAUCCCCGAUGGCGACCGGCGCACGGGUGAGUAACGCGUAUCCAACCUGCCCUUCACCACGGGAUAACCCGGCGAAAGUCGGACUAAUACCGUAUGUUGUCCAUUGACGGCAUCCGAUUUGGACGAAAGGCUUGGCGGUGAGGGAUGGGGAUGCGUCCGAUUAGCCAGACGGCGGGGUAACGGCCCACCGUGGCUACGAUCGGUAGGGGUUCUGAGAGGAAGGUCCCCCACACUGGAACUGAGACACGGUCCAGACUCCUACGGGAGGCAGCAGUGAGGAAUAUUGGUCAAUGGGCGUAAGCCUGAACCAGCCAAGUAGCGUGCAGGAUGACGGCCCUAUGGGUUGUAAACUGCUUUUAUGCGGGGAUAAAGUGGCCCACGUGUGGGCUUUUGCAGGUACCGCAUGAAUAAGGACCGGCUAAUUCCGCG